rnacentral:rRNA from 1 species
GUGGGGAAUAUUGGACAAUGGGGGGAACCCUGAUCCAGCCAUGCCGCGUGUGUGAAGAAGGCCUUUUGGUUGUAAAGCACUUUAAGUGGGGAGGAGGCUUACCUAGUUAAUACCUGGGCUAAGUGGACGUUACCCACAGAAUAAGCACCGGCUAACUCUGUGCCAGCAGCCGCGGUAAUACAGAGGGUGCGAGCGUUAAUCGGAUUUACUGGGCGUAAAGCGCGCGUAGGUGGUUAAUUAAGUCAAAUGUGAAAUCCCCGAGCUUAACUUGGGAAUUGCAUUCGAUACUGGUUGGCUAGAGUAUGGGAGAGGAUGGUAGAAUUCCAGGGGUAGCGGUGAAAUGCGUAGAGAUCUGGAGGAAUACCGAUGGCGAAGGCAGCCAUCUGGCCUAAUACUGACACUGAGGUGCGAAAGCAUGGGGAGCAAACAGGAUUAGAAACCCGUGUAGUCC